rnacentral:rRNA from 1 species
AAUCAACGCUGGCGGCGUGCCUCAGACAUGCAAGUCGAACGAUUAAAGCUCUCUUCGGAGAGUGCAUAAAGUGGCGCACGGGUGAGUAACACGUAAGUAAUCUACCUUCGAGUGGGGAAUAACGUCCGGAAACGGACGCUAAUACCGCAUAACGCAGCGGCAUCGCAAGAUGACAGUUGUUAAAGAUUUAUCGCUUGAAGAGGAGCUUGCGGCAGAUUAGCUUGUUGGUAAGGUAACGGCUUACCAAGGCUACGAUCUGUAUCCGGUCUAAGAGGACGGUCGGACACACUGACACUGAAUAACGGGUCAGACCUCCGUACGGG